CAGCAUAUUUUUCUGGAGGGGUGGGGUGAUGAGGUUGAAGACCACACUCUCCCGUGACCACCCUUCUGCCCACUGUUUUUCCUAGGCCUCCACUGAGUCCUUCAAUAGAGAACUGCUCGCUUAGAAGAGGCUUGGGAAGGAUAUGCAUGGUGGCGGUGCUGCCAACCUGGCAUGGAAGGUACAAGAGGCGUCCUGAGCAGGAGGUGGGUCCUGAACUCCUGGCCUCAAGUGGUCCUCCUGCCUUGGCCUCCCAAAGUGCUGGGAUUACAGAUGUGAGCCACCAUUCCCCACCUUGGAUGAUACCUUUUUAGAAGAGUGUGCUGAAGUUUGAGAAGAGCAAGAUGGAAAUACGACACAGAGGAGAACUUACGGGACACGCAUAGCCCAGCCUCUUCUAGAAGUCCUCACCAGGUGCACCCUCUUCCUGCUGCAGGAAGUGCUCUGAGCAUUGCUGCACUGCAAACUCCAGGCAGAAAUGACUCCGAGAAGAAAGUACAUAAUCCCAUCUCUAAGCUCCACUUCUAGAUCCCCUGUUCCUCAUAUUAGAACCUUCCUCUUUCCAGGGCAGUGACCAUAUCUAUUCCUUAUGGAACCACCCACGGAGUGUGGUAUUAGCCCACAGUCCCAGUAGAAACUACACAAUUGUCAGACAGAACAUUCCCCAGAUCUGGGUUAUGGAGUUGUAAGCACCGCUGCAUGGAAGACAGCUCAGGUAGGGCUAAAAUGAUUGCAGCCUGCUUUUUUAGUCUCAUAGCAUCGAUUAUUCAAUCCAGUUAUUCACUCACCACCUUAGCCAUCUUAGUAACAACGGGAAUGGCUUCCUUUCUUUCCAAAGGAAGGCAUCUGAAGACUUAAGUCACAGAGGUUGGCUGGCAGACUAGAUCCCUGCAUCAUUUCUCUAACUCUCUCAGUACAGGAUCCUUAUCCAUUAGGACAGGUUUCACUGCAAGUGAAGCCUCCAGCAGUCAGAGAUUCUAAGGCUGGCCUGAUCCUGAAGACAGAGGGAGGCUCGGCUAAGAGGUCACAGGAAGCUGCACAA
rnacentral:lncRNA from 13 species